GCGGGAGUGGCAGAGUGGUCAAAUGCGCUAGAUUCAGAGUCUAGUAGCUUAGUGCUUUCGCAGGUUCGAAUCCUGUCUCCCGCA
rnacentral:tRNA from 1 species